UGUUUUCCGUAGGUGAACCUGCGGAAAGGAUCAUUCCCAGUCUUAU
rnacentral:rRNA from 1 species